rnacentral:lncRNA from 1 species
GGCGGCGUCGAGGCGCGAGCAGCUCAGCCAGCCUUGCAGAGGGAGCUCUCGGCAGCUCAGGGGUCCCCUCUGCUCGCAGCCACAGCAGCGCCGCCUGCGACACUCGGCGGCGACGGAGACCGGCAGCGGGGACGAUCGGACUACGAGAGACUAGAGAGCACCCCAGCUGCUGGAGAAGCAACGCAGGGAGAUCGGCUUUGAAUUCAUGAGAAAGAAGAGUGUGAAACAAGAAGCAAAGAUCGGGUUGGAAGAGGGCAAGAGGAAAGGGGGGGAUGGAAGGAAACCCUGCAGCCACCAACACAAUAAACACAAUAAACUGUAUCCUGACCACCUCAAAAA